UACGUAGGGGGGCUAGCGUUGUCCGGAAUCAUUGGGCGUAAAGCGCGCGUAGGCGGCCAGAUAAGUCCGGUGUGAAAGCCACAGGCUCAACCUGUGAAUGCCGCUGGAAACUGUCUGGCUAGAGUCCGGGAGGGGCGAGUGGAAUUCCUGGUGGUAGCGGUUGAAAUGCGCAGAUAUCAGGAGGAACACCAAUGGCGAAGGCAGCUCGCUGGAACGGAACUGACGCUGAGGCGCGAAAGCGUGGGGAGCGAACAGG
rnacentral:rRNA from 1 species